UACGGGGGGGAGCAAGCGUUGUUCGGAUUUACUGGGCGUAAAGGGCGCGUAGGCGGCGUGACAAGUCACUUGUGAAAUCUCCGGGCUUAACUCGGAACGGUCAAGUGAUACUGGCGUGCUAGAGUACAGAAGGGGCAACUGGAAUUCUCGGUGUAGCGGUGAAAUGCGUAGAUAUCGAGAGGAACACCCGUGGCGAAGGCGGUUCUCUGGGGACGGUACUGACGCUGAGACGCGAAAGCGUGGGGGAGCGAACAGG
rnacentral:rRNA from 1 species